rnacentral:rRNA from 1 species
UACAGAGGUCCCAAGCGUUGUUCGGAUUUACUGGGCGUAAAGGGUGCGUAGGUGGCGAGGUAAGUUCGAUGUGAAAUCUCCGAGCUCAACUCGGAAAUGGCAUUGAAUACUAUCCCGCUUGAGGGUCGGAGGGAGACUGGAAUUCUCGGUGUAGCAGUGAAAUGCGUAGAUAUCGAGAGGAACACCUGCGGCGAAGGCGGGUUGCUGGGCUGACACUGACGCUGAGGCGCGAAAGCUAGGGAGCGAACGGG